rnacentral:rRNA from 1 species
UGCCUUUCGACUUUACUAUGGAAGGUUCAUCCUGCCCAAUGACUCUUAGUUCAAUGGCCGCGGUAUCUUGACCGUGCAAAGGUAGCAUAAUCACUUGCCCCUUAAUUAGGGGCUGGCAUGAAAGGACACACGAAAGCUUCCCUGUCUCACAAUAAUAAAUAAAAAUUAAUCUUUAAGUGAAAAAGCUUAAAUAAAAUUGCAGGACAAGAAGACCCCGUUGAGCUUUAUUCUCUAUAGACCAAUCUAAAUAUUUAUUAUAUCAUAAACCUAAAAAAGAAUUUAGUUGGGGUGACUAAGGAACAUCAUAAACUUCCUCUAUCUAUUUAGGGUUAUUCCCCAAAAAAAUUGACCCACAAACCGUGAUCAAAAAAAUAAGCUACCACAGGGAUAACAGGCUAAUCUUUCUUAAGAGCCCAAAUUGUCAGAAAGGAUUGGCACCUCGAUGUUGGCUUAGGGGCCCCUAAUGGUGCAGAAGCCAUAAAAGGUAGGUUUGUUCAACCUUUAAAACCCU